GGGCCCGCACAAGCGGUGGAGUAUGUGGUUUAAUUCGAAGAUACGCGCAGAACCUUACCAACACUUGACAUGUUCGUCGCGACUUUAAGAGAUUAAAGUUUUCGGUUCGGCCGGACGAAACACAGGUGCUGCAUGGCUGUCGUCAGCUCGUGUCGUGAGAUGUUGGGUUAAGUCCCGCAACGAGCGCAACCCUCACUUUUAGUUGCCAUCAUUAAGUUGGGCACUCUGAAAGAACUGCCAGUGAUAAGCUGGAGGAAGGUGGGGAUGACGUCAAGUCCUCAUGGCCCUUACGUGUUGGGCUACACACGUGCUACAAUGGUAUCUACAACAGGAAGCAAGACUGCGAAGUUAAGCAAA
rnacentral:rRNA from 1 species